GAGAUGCUUAUGUGUUCACCAUCAUUGAAUUUAGUAAGUUUAGCCUUUUCCAUUACUGGGGGCUGGGAGGAUUAUGGUCUUAAAUUGCUUAGAACUGUCAUGUAAUCCCUUCAAUAUUUCCGAUACACUGUGCUUCCCUUCUUGACCUACAGAGAGAGAGAGAGAGAGAGAGAGACAUUAUACUGUAUGAUGUUUUUUUGAGGGGCCCUUUUUUCCAGAGCCACUGUCCAGUGAUUCAGUCCAUUGGUAUGCACCAACCAUCAUUUGGAACAGUGCUACUGCUGUGAUUUACUGUCCCAAGCCCUGCCCACUUCCCUCAGCCUGCCUCUUGAUAUUCUGUCUCCCAGCUACAGCUCUAGAGCUGGCUGUGGUGGACACUGAACAGCCAUGCAAGACCCAGCACAUAUGGCCCCCCUUUAACCCCGCAUCCAGGACCUGUGGCCUUUCAUAAGACACCUGAACAUGGCCUUGUUCAGUUGUUUGUGCUCAUUGUUUGGAAGGGCAAAAGUAAGAUUUUUUUUUUUUUUUUUUUAUGUAAACAAUGUUUUGGAAUAUUGUUUGAAAUACAUGUACCGGUGAUGUCCUCAUCAUGGGGCUACAAGAAUGGAGGUAAAGAUAAGAGACUGACUAUCAUUCAGAUGAAAUUGAUUUAGGAUCUGAGCAUUGGGAGCAAAAUAUGUGCAUCUCUUUUGUUGUUGUUGGCCAUGUUGUCUAAUAGGUUAGACCACACUAUCUAGACGUGUAUUACCAUCAGCUGGUCUUCUGGAAGAAAAACAUAGGUAUCAAUUGCAGGUAGUAGCACUACAUAUGGUCUCAGAGGAGCAUUUCAUUUGCACAGUAGUGUGCCCGAGAAAGAGGGGUUGCCACUUGAUUUAGAAAGUGCCAGUGACGUGGAGUAUAGAAGUAUUUCAGAAGAUCAAUUGUUGUUCAUCUUCAAAGUAAACCUACAUUGCUGUUUUAAAUCCGCUAGGCAUCAGGAUUUGCAGGACAAUUAUAGCCAAAAACUUCAUAUCCCACACUACACCAGAGAGUGGAUGUAGGCUACGCAUCGUGUGCCAUGCCCUUCUUGGAAGGUGUGGGCCUUCAUAUGUACCUCAGCGGUGUAGGGACAAAUUUAAAUGUUCAGAGGGAGCGCUUUCGCAGCGGAAAAGAAAGAUUGAUGAAUUUGAUUUAUCUUCGUUGAAUACAGGACAUAA
rnacentral:lncRNA from 8 species